UACGUAGGGGGCGAGCGUUGUCCGGAUUUAUUGGGCGUAAAAGGCUUGUAGGCGGCCACGCGGCGUCGGCUGUGAAAGCUCCCGGCUUAACUGGGAGAGGGCAGGCGAUACGGGCAGACUAGAGGUAGGUAGGGGAGAAUGGAAUUCCCGGUGUAGCGGUGAAAUGCGCAGAUAUCGGGAGGAACACCGGUGGCGAAGGCGGUUCUCUGGGCCUUACCUGACGCUGAGGAGCGAAAGCGUGGGGAGCGAACAGG
rnacentral:rRNA from 1 species